rnacentral:lncRNA from 1 species
CAUCUUCAUCAACCUUUUCUCCUUCUUUAACUUCUGCAUUUUUCUUUUGUUGUCUUGUUAUAGCUUUAGCUUCAAUUUGGAAAAUGUACCUUCGGAGGAAGACGUCGAUCUCUUCUCGAAUGAACGCUUUUCUGUCAGAUAAAUCGACGCCGUAAUAAUCCUCUAGUUGCCGGAAAACAAUGCUGGUGGUGGUGGUGAAGAAGUUGGCAGUGUGGAGGAGUAGUGGGAUCCGAGUCGCGAGGUCCGAGUCGGACCACCAUUUUCUGCCGGUUUAACCGAUAUUUCGUGCAAAAAUCGAGACAUUUCGGGUGAUGCUGCGUCUGAUGCAAGAAAACCAAGGGCUGUACUACAAAUUUACAAGUAGGCGAACGACCUUUAUUGCAGGGGGCGAUGGGCCCUAGCCUUCUAAGUAACGGAUUAGGGGCAUUCUUGUAAUUUAUGCUAAAUAAUAUAAAAGAAAAAAUAAAUUUUCAUUGCCAUACAUAUUUUAAUGGCCUUUCUUGGAGAAUCAGUUGUGGCGGUUUUAUUUUUGAUUUUUGAUUUUUUAAGAUUAUGAUAAAUGC